rnacentral:tRNA from 1 species
UUUUGCCUAGUUUAAAACAAAAAAAUGUUGGCUUGUCAAGCCAAUGAUGCCUGCCUGCGGCGACAAGGU